rnacentral:lncRNA from 1 species
GUUUUAGGGUACAUGUGCACAAUGUGCAGGUUAGUUACAUAUGUAUACAUGUGCCAUGCCGGUGCGCUGCACCCACUAACUCAUCAUCUACAUUAGGUAUAUCUCCCAAUGCUAUCCCUCCCCCCUCCCCCCACCCCACAACAGUCCCCAGAGUAUGAUGUUCCCCUUCCUGUGUCCAUGUGUUCUCAUUGUUCAAUUCCCACCUAUGAGUGAGAAUAUGCAGUGUUUGGUUUUUUGUUCUUGCAAUAGUUUACUGAGAAUGAUGAUUUCCGAUUUCAUCCAUGUCCCCACAAAGGACGUGAACUCAUCAUUUUUUAUGGCUGCAUAGUAUUCCAUGGUGUAUAUGUGCCACAUUUUCUUAAUCCAGUCUAUCAUUGUUGGACAUUUGGGUUGGUUCCAAGUCUUCACUAUUGUGAAUAAUGCCGCAAUAAACAUACGUGUGCAUGUGUCUUUAUAGCAGCAUGAUUUAUAGUCCUUUGGGCAUAUACCCAGUAAUGGGAUGGCUGGGUCAAAUGGUAUUUCUAGUUCUAGAUCCCUGAGGAAUCGCCACACUGACUUCCACAAUGGUUGAACUAGUUUACAGUCCCACCAAAAGUUGAAAAGUGUUCCUAUUUCUCCACAUCCUCUCCAGCACCUGUUGUUUCCUGACUUUUUAAGGAUUGCCAUUCUAACUGGUGUGAGAUGGUAUCUCAUUGUGGUUUUGAUUUGCAUUUCUCUGAUGGCCAGUGAUGGUGAGCAUUUUUUCAUAUGUCUUUUGACUGCAUAAAUGUCUUCUUUUGAGAAGUGUCUGUUCAUGUCCUUUGCCCACUUUUUGAUGGGGUUGUUUGUUUUUUUCUUGUAAAUUUGUUGGAGUUCAUUGUAGAUUCUGGAUAUUAGCCCUUUGUCAGAUGAGUAGGUUGCGAAAAUUUUCUCCCAUGUUGUAGGUUGCCUGUUCACUCUGAUGGUAGUUUCUUUUGCUGUGCAGAAGCUCUUUAGUUUAAUUAGAUCCCAUUUGUCAAUUUUGGCUUUUGUUGCCAUUGCUUUUGGUGUUUUAGACAUGAAGUCCUUUCCCAUGCCUAUGUCCUGAAUGGUAAUGCCUAGGUUUUCUUCUAGGGUUUUUAUGGUUUUAGGUCUAACGUUUAAGUCUUUAAUCCAUCUUGAAUUGAUUUUUGUAUAAGGUGUAAGGAAGGGAUCCAGUUUCAGCUUUCUACAUAUGGCUAGCCAGUUUUCCCAGCACCAUUUAUUAAAUAGGGAAUCCUUUCCCCAUUGCUUGUUUUUCUCAGGUUUGUCAAAGAUCAGAUAGUUGUAGAUAUGCGGCGUUAUUUCUGAGGGCUCUGUUCUGUUCCAUUGAUCUAUAUCUCUGUUUUGGUACCAGUACCAUGCUGUUUUGGUUACUGUAGCCUUGUAGUAUUGUUUGAAGUCAGGCAGUGUGAUGCCUCCAGCUUUGUUCUUUUGGCUUAGGAUUGACUUGGCGAUGCGGGCUCUUUUUUGGUUCCAUAUGAACUUUAAAGUAGUUUUUUCCAAUUCUGUGAAGAAAGUCAUUGGUAGCUUGAUGGGGAUGGCAUUGAAUCUGUAAAUUACCUUGGGCAUUAGGGCCAUUUUCACAAUAUUGAUUCUUCCUACCCAUGAGCAUGGAAUGUUCUUCCAUUUGUUUGUAUCCUCUUUUAUUUCAUUGAGCAGUGGUUUGUAGUUCUCCUUGAAGAGGUCCUUCACAUCCCUUGUAAGUUGGAUUGCUAGGUAUUUUCUUCUCUUUGAAGCAAUUGUGAAUGGGAGUUCACUCAUAAUUUGGCUCUCUGUUUGUCUGUUGUUGGUGUAUAAGAAUCCUUGUGAUUUUUGUACGUUGAUUUUGUAUCCUGAGACUUUGCUGAAGUUGCUUAUCAGCUUAAGGAGAUUUUGGGCUGAGACAAUGGGGUUUUCUAGAUAUACAAUCAUGUCGUCUGCAAACAGGGACAAUUUGACUUCCUUUUUUCCUAAUUGAAUACCCUUUAUUUCCUUCUCCUACCUAAUUGCCCUGGCCAGAACUUCCAACACUAUGUUGAAUAGGAGUGGUGAGAGAGGGCAUCCAUGUCUUGUGCCAGUUUUCAAAGGGAAUGCUUCCAGUUUUUGCCCAUUCAGUAUGAUAUUGGCUGUGGGUUUGUCAUAGAUAGCUCUUAUUAUUUUGAGAUACGUCCCAUCAAUACCUAAUUUAUUGAGAGUUUUUAGCAUGAAGGGUUGUUGAAUUUUCUCAAAGGCCUUUUCUGCAUCUAUUGAGAUAAUCAUGUGGUUUUUGUCUUUGGUUCUGUUUAUAUGCUGGAUUACAUUUAUUGAUUUGCGUAUAUUGAACCAGCCUUGCAUCCCAGGUAUGAAGCCCACUUGAUCAUGGUGGAUAAGCUUUUUGAUGUGCUGCUGGAUUCGGUUUGCCAGUAUUUUAUUGAGGAUUUUUGCAUCAAUGUUCAUCAAGGAUAUUGGUCUAAAAUUCUCUUUUUUGGUUGUGUCUCUGCCCGGCUUUGGUAUCAGGAUGAUGCUGGCCUCACAAAAUGAGUUAGGGAGGAUUCCCUCUUUUUCUAUUGACUGGAAUAGUUUCAGAAGGAAUGGUACCAGUUCCUCCUUGUACCUCUGGUAGAAUUCGGCUGUGAAUCCAUCUGGUCCUGGACUCUUUUUGGUUGGUAAGCUAUUGAUUAUUGCCACAAUUUCAGCUCCUGUUAUUGGUCUAUUCAGAGAUUCAACUUCUUCCUGGUUUAGUCUUGGGAGAGUGUAUGUGUUGAGGAAUUUAUCCCUUUCUUCUAGAUUUUCUAGUUUAUUUGCGUAGAGGUGUUUGUAGUAUUCUCUGAUGGUAGUUUGUAUUUCUGUGGGAUUGGUGGUGAUAUCCCCUUUAUCAUUUUUUAUUGCAUCUAUUUGAUUCUUCUCUCUUUUUUUCUUUAUUAGUCUUGCUAGCAGUCUAUCAAUUUUGUUGAUCCUUUCAAAAAACCAGCUCCUGUAUUCAUUAAUUUUUUGAAGGGUUUUUUUGUGUCUCUAUUUCCUUCAGUUCUGCUCUGAUUUUAGUUAUUUCUUGCCUUCUGCUAGCUUUUGAAUGUGUUUGCUCUUGCUUUUCUAGUUCUUUUAAUUGUGAUGUUAGGGUGUCAAUUUUGGAUCUUUCCUGCUUUCUCUUGUGGGCAUUUAGUGCUAUAAAUUUCCCUCUACACACUGCUUUGAAUGCGUCCCAGAGAUUCUGGUAUGUUGUGUCUUUGUUCUCGUUGGUUUCAAAGAACAUCUUUAUUUCUGCCUUCAUUUUGUUAUGUACCCAAUAGUCAUUCAGGAGCAGGUUGUUCAGUUUCCAUGUAGUUGAGCGGUUUUGAGUGAGAUUCUUAAUCCUGAGUUCUAGUUUGAUUGCACUGUGGUCUGAGAGAUACUUUGUUAUAAUUUCUGUUCUUUUGCUGAGGAGAGCUUUACUUCCAAGUAUGUGGUCAAUUUUGGAAUAGGUGUGGUGUGGUGCUGAAAUAAAUGUAUAUUCUGUUGAUUUGGGGUGGAGAGUUCUGUAGAUGUCUAUUAGGUCCGCUUGGUGCAGAGCUGAGUUCAAUUCCUGGGUAUCCUUGUUGACUUUCUGUCUCGUUGAUCUGUCUAAUGUUGACAGUGGGGUGUUAAAGUCUCCCAUUAUUAAUGUGUGGGAGUCUAAGUCUCUUUGUAGGUCGCUCAGGACUUGCUUUAUGAAUCUGGGUGCUCCUGUAUUGGGUGCAUAUAUGUUUAGGACAGUUAGCUCUUCUUGUUGAAUUGAUCCCUUUACCAUUAUGUAAUGGCCUUCUUUGUCUCUUUUGAUCUUUGUUGGUUCAAAGUCUGUUUUAUCAGAGACUAGGAUUGCAACCCCUGCCUUUUUUUGUUUUCCAUUUGCUUGGUAGAUCUUCCUCCAUCCUUUUAUUUUGAGCCUAUGUGUGUCUCUGCACAUGAGAUGGGUUUCCUGAAUACAGCACACUGAUGGGUCUGGACUCUUUAUCCAAUUUGCCAGUCUGUGCCUUUUAAUUGGAGCAUUUAGUCCAUUUACAUUUAAAGUUAAUACUGUUAUGUGUGAAUUUGAUCCUGUCAUUAUGAUGUUAGCUGGUUAUUUUGCUCGUUAGUUCAUGCAGUUUCUUCCUAGUCUCGAUGGUCUUUACAUUUUGGCAUGAUUUUGCAGCGGCUGGUAUCUGUUGUUCCUUUCCAUGUUUAGCGCUUUCAGGAGCUCUUUUAGGGCAGGCCUGGUGGUGACAAAAUCUCUCAGCAUUUGCUUGUCUGUAAAGUAUUUUAUUUCUCCUUCACUUAUGAAGCUUAGUUUGGCUGGAUAUGAAAUUCUGGGUUGAAAAUUCUUUUCUUUAAGAAUGUUGAAUAUUGGCCCCCACUAUCUUCUGGCUUGUAGAGUUUCUGCCGAGAGAUCUGCUGUUAGUCUGAUGGGCUUCCCUUUGUGGGUAACCCGACCUUUCUCUCUGGCUGCCCUUAACAUUUUUUCCUUCAUUUCAACUUUGGUGAAUCUGACAAUUAUGUGUCUUGGAGUUGCUCUUCUCGAGGAGUAUCUUUGUGGCAUUCUCUGUAUUUCCUGAAUCUGAAUGUUGGCCUUGCUACAUUGGGGAAGUUCUCCUGGAUAAUAGCCUGCAGAGUGUUUUCCAACUUGGUUCCAUUCUCCCCGUCACUUUCAGGUACACCAAUCAGACGUAGAUUUGGUCUUUUCACAUAGUCCCAUAUUUCUUGGAGGCUUUGCUCGUUUCUUUUUAUUCUUUUUUCUCUAAACUUCCCUUCUCGCUUCAUUUCAUUCACUUCAUCUUCCAUCACUGAUACCCUUUCUUCCAGUUGAUCGCAUCGGCUCCUGAGGCUUCUGCAUUCUUCAUGUAGUUCUCGAGCCUUGGUUUUCAGCUCCAUCAGCUCCUUUAAGCACUCCUCUGUAUUGGUUAUUCUAGUCAUACAUUCUUCUAAACUUUUUUCAAAGUUUUCAACUUCUUUGCCUUUGGUUUGAAUUUCCUCCCGUAGCUCAGAGUAAUUUGAUCGUCUGAAGCCUUCUUCUCUCAGCUCGUCAAAGUCAUUCUCUGUCCAGCUUUGUUCCGUUGCUGGUGAGGAACUGCGUUCCUUUGGAGGAGGAGAGGCGCUCUGCUUUUCAGAGUUUCCAGUUUUUCUGCUCUGUUUUUUCCCCAUCUUUGUGGUUUUAUCUACUUUUGGUCUUUGAUGAUGGUGAUGUACAGAUGGGUUUUUGGUGUGGAUGUCCUUUCUGUUUGUUAGUUUUCCUUCUAACAGACAGGACCCUCAGCUGCAGGUCUGUUGGAGUACCCGGCCAUGUGAGGUGUCAGUCUACCCCUGCUGGGGGGUGCCUCCCAGUUAGGCUGCUCAAGGGUCAGAGGUCAGGGACCCACUUGAGGAGGCAGUCUGCCCGUUCUCAGAUCUCCAGCUGCAUGCUGGGAGAACCACUGCUCUCUUCAAAGCUGUCAGACAGGGACAUUUAACUCUGCAGAGGUUACUGCUGUCUUUUUGUUUGUCUGUGCCCUGCCCCCAGAGGUGGAGCCUACAGAGGCAGGCAGGCCUCCUUGAGCUGUGGUGGGCUCCACCCAGUUCGAGCUUCCCGGCUGCUUUGUUUACCUCAGCAAGCCUGGGCAAUGGCGGGCGCCCCUCCCCAGCCUCGCUGCCGCCUUGCAGUUUGAUCUCAGACUGCUGUGCUAGCAAUCCAGCGAGACUCCAUGGGCGUAGGCCCCUCCGAGCCAGGCCAUGGAACUGGGACAAGGCUAAUCUUCCCUUCAGCAUGAGAGAGUGAACUUUAAGCACUUGAAGCCUUCUGUAAAUGAGUGGCAGUAAUUAAGACAUAAUAGUUACUCCUACCAACUUUUCUUUGAGCCUCUCUGAGAAAAAGAAUGAGGCGCUGUUUCCAUGUGAAGAUUCAACACCCUUUGGUAAAAUCCAGUCUGCCUGAGAACUAUUUUUUUUCUGUUAAAAUUCAAGAAUAACCAAUAAGAACACCUUGACAUUUCCCCAGACAUCUUGUCCCUCACUUAAACCUACACAAGAUCGUGCUGAAAGAAGGGAAAGGGAAAGCAUGAGGAACACUCUCGGGACUGGAAAAACGUUUUUAGAGAUCAGGUAAUCCAAUCAUCCCAAACUGAGAAUCUACCGCCUAACUGAUUCCAGCUGAAGACAGCUUUAGUGUUCGUUCUCAUCUGUAUAUGGGGAUAAUAUCUUCUUAAGGAUGCUUCAAUUCUGGAAUAAAAUAAUGCAUAUGAAAGCAUCUGACAUGGGUUAUGCACUCACUAAAACUGGCUGAACCUGGAAAUUCUGCAUUUAUUCAAUAAAUAUUAAGUGAACGUCUACAAUAUACUAGUCAGUACUCUAGGCACUAGGAAAGGGCCAUAAGCAAAAAGCACAAAAAUCUUGUUUUCUUGGAGACAACAUCUACCUCCUGUAACUUCUCCGACUGGCCCGCCUGGCUUCUUUGGACCUCCGUCUGGCUUUUAUAUAACACCUCCUCCACGGAAUAUUGUCCUUUGAGAUUCUGCAGAUCGCUGUGGUGUACCUCCCCUCUCCACGCCCCUUUCCUCCAUCCUAAACAAGCAGCCUUAAUUAUUUCAAGGAGUAAGCAAGGAUGCGGAAACAGGAGCGAAAACUGGACUGGGUGGGGUGAAGGCGGGUGCUAAGACGCCAGGGCUGAAAAAGAAAUCAACAGAACCGCUCCGACUCCGGGCCAACGUCAAGACGGGCGGGUCCGAAUCAGGUGUGUCAC